rnacentral:lncRNA from 12 species
AUGGGAAAUCGAGCCAGCCCAAGGGCCGCGUUAAUUAAAGCGGAGCUCGGCCCAGCCGGGGCUUACCAGCCCGGGACCGGAGACUCCCCACAUGUGUGCAGUUGGAGACCAAACCCCACGGCCCGGCGGCACCAGGAGCCCCGUGCGAGGCACAGCCCGAGCUUCUGGCAGCCGCCCGGACUCCCGCGGACUUGGAUCGCGCAGCUCUGGUGCCGCCGGGUCGGACCGCAGGCCAAGCCCGGCCCAGCUGCCUCCACGGGCGGGGACGCCAGGCCGAGACCCGGGACAAGGGAGCCGGGCCACGCCUUGGGUCACGCGCCGGACACGCCCCACGCGGAGGAGCCGCCGAGGCCUCGCGAACCUGGGGGGAGGGGGGGCUUCCCACGUGGCGCCCUGGUCGGGUGGCCCCGUGCCCCCCGCGACCCCCGUGCCCCCCGCGACCCCCGCGACCCCCGCGCCUGGCUUCGCGUGUGCGCGUGUGCGCGUGUGCAGCGGGCGGCCAGGGCAGGCGUGCGCGCGGUUCUCAGGCUCCAACCACGUGGCGUGCGCCCGGGCGCGGCCUGCACGCCCUGCGCUUCGGGGCCGGGUCACCGCGGAAAGGCCGGCGCCAGUGCUGGGAGCUGGAAGGCGGGUGGGCCGCGCGGGGACCGGGCGCCGCACCUGCUGGGGGACAGGCCGCCGCACCUGCCCGGCGACGGGCCGCCGCACCUGCCAGGUGACAGGCCGCUGCACCCGCUUAGGGAUGGGCCGCCGUACCUGCUGAGGGACACGGGCUGCCGGCACCUGCUGGGUGAUGGGCCACCGUACCUGCUGGGUGAUGGGCCACCAUACCUGCCAGGUGACAGGCCGCUGCAUCUGCUUAGGGAUGGGCCGCUGUACCUGCUGAGGGACGGGCCACUGCAGCCGCACCUGCCGAGGGACGGGCCGCCGUACCUGCUGAGGGACACGGGCUGCCGGCACCUGCUGGGUGAUGGGCCACCGCAGCCUCACCUGCAGAGGGACGGGCUGCGGGCACGUGCCAAGGGACGGGCCGCGCCGCUGUCUGGACCACGGGCCCCGCCUCCCCCCCCAGCGCGCCCGCCGGCGUCAACUCUGCAGUCUGUCGCUGGGCAGGGUCAAAAAGACCUUCCUCGGGCGGGCACGCCCUCCCUGGCAUGUCGGGAACUCCUUCCCCGGGCUCAGGGAAACCAUGUCCUUCACUGGCUCAGGAGCCGAGGGUCACCUGGGGAAACACUUCCUUUCGUUGCUAAUCAUACCGGUAGUAGGCGAAGAACAAGGCCCCCAAAGACCCACAACUGUUUUCCGCACUAUUAUCAUGCCACCGGGCCGGGGCUCCUCUGCCUUCCUUCCCCUGGGAAGGUCGAUUCUAAAACAAAAACCUUUGGUAGCUGA